rnacentral:rRNA from 1 species
CCUACGGGAGGCAGCAGUGAGGAAUAUUGGUCAAUGGACGAGAGUCUGAACCAGCCAAGUAGCGUGAAGGAUGACUGCCCUAUGGGUUGUAAACUUCUUUUAUAUGGGAAUAAAAUGUUCCACGUGUGGGAUUUUGUAUGUACCAUAUGAAUAAGGAUCGGCUAACUCCGUGCCAGCAGCCGCGGUAAUACGGAGGAUCCGAGCGUUAUCCGGAUUUAUUGGGUUUAUAGGGAGCGUAGGUGGAUUGUUAAGUCAGUUGUGAAAGUUUGCGGCUCAACCGUAAAAUUGCAGUUGAAACUGGCAGUCUUGAGUACAGUAGAGGUGGGCGGAAUUCGUGGUGUAGCGGUGAAAUGCUUAGAUAUCACGAAGAACUCCGAUUGCGAAGGCAGUUCACUGGACUGCAACUGACACUGAGGCUCGAAAGUGUGGGUAUCAAACAGGAUUAGAUACCCCUGUAGUC